CACCAUAGUAUUAGUGUCAUGUCACAGCCAAUGCCAGAGAGAAUAUAUAAUUAAUUGAUGCUUUUUGCUGAGAGGAACACUUGCUCUACAAGUCAGCACCAGACACAAAGAGAAAGAGGAGGAAGCAGAGAAUGAGCAGAGGGAGAGAGAACGAGAGCUAAAACAGCAGAAAAUCCCAUUUUAGCUUUGAUCGCACUAAGCUCAGCCACUUGUCUCCUCUCUCUCCCUAUUUUAACAGAAUAGAAAGGAAGAGUGAGUGGCUGCAAGCAGAUAUACCAAUGUUUUAUUGAGACCAGGGAUAAAAACGGUGACAUCCAUCUCCGGUUGUGCCUGGAAUUUUUGCUCAAUUGUAUUCUUGUCUUUAGUCAAAGGGUUUUGAGGUCUCUAAGAUGCACUGGAUUUAUUUUUUGAUAUGCAGUGCCACUCUUUGUCUCAACAUAUUGGGUGUUGCUUGCAUUGUAAAGGAAAUUAAGUUCACAUGGGGCUAUGAAGAAAAUCUGGUCCAAACAAAGAUUCCAGAGAGCUGGGCACACUAACUGGAUGUUUGGAAGACUUGCUCAUGUUUUUCGCUUGUGCAGGAAGCAAAGCAAUGAAGCAGACAACACAGAUGAUGAGAAUGGAGAAACCCAGGUCUCCAUGGAAACAAAAGAAAGGUCUAGGGCCCCACAGGCUCAAGCAAUUAGGAGUCAGUUUUCAGGUGGUGCAAAGACAAUGAUUGCUCGUAAUUGCCCCAUAGUGGAGAGAGAGAUUUUGGCUCUGGGUUCAAGAGCCCCAAGCCUACAAGGCCCCUUCCAGUCUGGCAGGAAAGCAAAUGCUGGGUGUGUUCAGAGCCCCCCAGUCAGACAUCUGGGUGUGGAAGCUCUUGUGCGGGCCUCUCAGAUCAGUGUGUACUACCCAGCAGUGGAGUCUGAGGAAAGUAUGUCAUUAGCCAGUGACUACUAUGGCAGCGUGUUCAGCCUCUAUCGAC
ensembl:lncRNA